rnacentral:rRNA from 1 species
UACGGAGGGUGCAAGCGUUGUUCGGAAUCAUUGGGCGUAAAGCGCGUGGAGGCGGCUUGGCAAGUCGGGUGUGAAAUCCCGGGGCCCAACCCCGGAACUGCAUUCGAAACUGCCUCGCUAGAGUCCCGGAGAGGAAGGCGGAAUUCCCGGUGUAGAGGAGAAAUUCGUAGAAAUCGGGAGGAACACCAGCGGAGAAGGCGGUCUUCUGGACGGUGAUUGACGAACAGACGCGAAAGCGUGGGGAGCAAACAGG